rnacentral:rRNA from 1 species
GACGAACGCUGGCGGCGUGCUUAACACAUGCAAGUCGAACGGAAAGGCCCUGCUUUUGUGGGGUGCUCGAGUGGCGAACGGGUGAGUAACACGUGAGUAACCUGCCCUUGACUUUGGGAUAACUUCAGGAAACUGGGGCUCAUACCGGAUAGGAGCUCCUGCUGCAUGGUGGGGGUUGGAAAGUUUCGGCGGUUGGGGAUGGACUCGCGGCUUAUCAGCUUGUUGGUGGGGUAGUGGCUUACCAAGGCUUUGACGGGUAGCCGGCCUGAGAGGGUGGCCGGCCACAUUGGGACUGAGAUACGGCCCAGACUCCUACGGGAGGCAGCAGGGGAGAAUAUUGCACAGUGGGCGGAAGCCUGAUGCAGCAACGCCGCGUGCGGGAUGACGGCCUUCGGGUUGUAAACCGCUUUCGCCUGUGACGAAGCGUGAGUGACGGUAAUGGGUAAAGAAGCACCGGCUAACUACGUG